AGUUACUUACUGGUAGUGAGUGGUGAAUGCGAAACGAUUUCUCUGCUUGAAGUUUAGUUUUAAUAAAAAGCAGAAUGUUCUGAUGAGAUCCUAUUUGUUUUAUAGCUGUUGAAAUGAUAAUACCCUGUUCAUCAGUGUUCACGGGGCUGUGUUCAUCAGCCAACUGCAAUGACACUAUAACUGCAAAUCGCAUGGGUUUACGGUAACACACACAGUUUUCCUCCCGGAUGCUAAACGUCACCGGCUGUUCUUCUGCUACUCAUGGCUUUUCACCUGGGGGUCAGAAACAAGAUAGGAGAAAGAAGAUGUAGAAGCAAGAAGAGCUCACAGUGCUUGAGCUCUGGUAUUGAACAGAAAGCUCCCAAAAGCUUGAAGAACGUGGUUGCCAAUAUGGGCUCAUUGGCCAUUUUGUGUGAGGUGGUGCAUAAGACAUCCAGAGGAAACUCCAUUCUUCACGGCUGUCUUCCUAAGAGCUGCAUUGGAAGCUUAAUUCACUGGGAA
rnacentral:lncRNA from 1 species